rnacentral:rRNA from 1 species
GACGAACGCUGGCGGCGUGCUUAACACAUGCAAGUCGAACGCUGAAGCUCAGCUUUUGUUGGGUGGAUGAGUGGCGAACGGGUGAGUAACACGUGAGUAACCUGCCCCCUUCUUUGGGAUAACGCCCGGAAACGGGUGCUAAUACUGGAUAUUCACUGGUCUUCGCAUGGGGGUUGGUGGAAAGGGUUUUUCUGGUGGGGGAUGGGCUCGCGGCCUAUCAGCUUGUUGGUGGGGUGAUGGCCUACCAAGGCUUUGACGGGUAGCCGGCCUGAGAGGGUGACCGGUCACAUUGGGACUGAGAUACGGCCCAGACUCCUACGGGAGGCAGCAGUGGGGAAUAAUGCACAAUGGGCGCAAGCCUGAUGCAGCGACGCCGCGUGAGGGAUGGAGGCCUUCGGGUUGUGAACCUCUUUCGCUCAUGGUCAAGCCGCAACAAUGGUUGUGGUGAGGGUAGCGGGUAAAGAAGCGCCGGCUAACUACGUG